CGCACUGCAUGCCUCAGUACGGCGAGUGAAGCGGCAAAAGCUCAAAUUUUAAAGCUGACAUCUUCGGUGUCCGCGUUGUAAUUUUGUGAGGCAUCUCCGGGUAGGGCGCCGGCCUAAGUUCCUUGGAACAGGACGUCACAGAGGGUGAGAAUCCCGUGCUUGGCUGGCUGUCCCCGUCCAUGUGAGGUGUCUUCGACGAGUCGAGUUGUUUGGGAAUGCAGCUCAAAAUGGGUGGUAAAUUUCAUCUAAAGCUAAAUAUUGGUGGGAGACCGAUAGCGCACAAGUAGAGUGAUCGAAAGAUGAAAAGCACUUUGAAAAUAGAGUUAAAAAGUACGUGAAAUUGUUGAAAGGGAAGCGCUUGAGAUCAGACUUCGGUAAGGGGUGAUCAGCCGUCCUUCUGGGCGGUGCACUUGCCCCCCUCCGGGCCAGCAUCGGUUGAGGCGGCGGGAUAAAGGUCCCGGGAAUGUGGCUCCUUCACGGGAGUGUUAUAGCCCGGGUGAAUGCCGCCAGCUUCGACCGAGGACCGCACCCGCAAGGGUUAGGAUGCUUGGCAUAAUGGUCUUCAGCGACCCGUCUUGAACCCACGGACC
rnacentral:rRNA from 1 species